AUCGCUUCUCGGCCUUUUGGCUCAGAUCAAGUGUAGUAUCUGUUCUUAUCAGUUUAUAUCUGAUACGUCCCCCAUCGGGGGACUACAUAUUAAAUGGAUUUUUCGAACAGGGAGUCGGAAAUGGGGCUUGCUCCGUCCGCUCCACGCAUCGACCCGGUAUUGCAGUACCUCCGGGAACGGUGCAACACUU
rnacentral:snRNA from 1 species